rnacentral:misc_RNA from 1 species
GAAAUGCGAUAAUUAAUGUGAAUUGCAGAAUUCAGUGAAUCAUCGAGUCUUUGAACGCACAUUGCGCCCCCUGGUAUUCCGGGGGCAUGCCUGUCCGAGCGUCAUUGCUGCCCUCAAGCACGGCUUGUGUGUUGGGCUUCCGUCCCUGGCAACGGGGACGGGUCCAAAAGGCAGUGGCGGCACCAUGUCUGGUCCUCGAGCGUAUGGGGCUUUGUCACCCGCUCCCGUAGGUCCAGCUGGCAGCUAGCCUCGCAACCAAUCUUUUUAACCAGGUUGACCUCGGAUCAGGUAGGGAUACCCGCUGAACUUAAGC